rnacentral:rRNA from 1 species
AUUGAACGCCGGCGGCAGGCUUAACACAUGCAAGUCGAGCGGGGGAAGGUAGCUUGCUACCGGACCUAGCGGCGGACGGGUGAGUAAUGCUUAGGAAUCUGCCUAUUAGUGGGGGACAACAUCUCGAAAGGGAUGCUAAUACCGCAUACGUCCUACGGGAGAAAGCAGGGGAUCCUCGGACCUUGCGCUAAUAGAUGAGCCUAAGUCGGAUUAGCUAGUUGGUGGGGUAAAGACCUACCAAGGCGACGAUCUGUAGCGGGUCUGAGAGGAUGAUCCGCCACACUGGGACUGAGACACGGCCCAGACUCCUACGGGAGGCAGCAGUGGGGAAUAUUGGACAAUGGGGGGAACCCUGAUCCAGCCAUGCCGCGUGUGUGAAGAAGGCCUUAUGGUUGUAAAGCACUUUAAGCGAGGAGGAGGCUACUCUAGUUAAUACCUAGGGAUAGUGGACGUUACUCGCAGAAUAAGCACCGGCUAACUCUGUGCCAGCCGCCGCUGUAA